AUGAUUCAGAUUCUUGUGACGCUUUGGGCGAUCUGGUGGGCUAGGAGAAAGGCAAUUCACGACCAAAUAUUUCAGAGCCCACUUUCCACCUUCUCCUUCAUUCAGAAGAUUUUGCAGGAAUUGGAGAUGGUGGAAGCAGCUCCAAAAGAGUUGGCAAUUCCAGCCAGGGGACCAGAGAGAAAAUGGAUCGCUCCGGUCACUGGCUAUGUGAAGAUAAAUGUUGAUGGAGGCCUUUCGCGAUCAGGUGAACAGGGUGCAGUCAUUGCUGUUUGUAGGGAUGCCACGGGCAAGUUCAUAGAGUGUCAGCUGUAG
rnacentral:rRNA from 1 species